rnacentral:tRNA from 1 species
CAGGGAGACAAUACCUGAUCGUGAUGUCUGAGUACUUUAUUCUCAGGCCAUGAUCCUGUCAUCUCGAAGGUCGAUCGGUACCUCAAUUUGAGGGUAAGAGAAGGGAUGAGCAAUCAUCUUUGAGACUUACCAAUCAAUUUCAGUUCCUAAACUUUGUCUAGGUCACCCCACAGGGCUGUCAAACAAAUGUUUGACGCUACUGAGCGGUAGCAACUCCUGGGCCAUUAGCUCAGGUGGUUAGAGCGCACCCCUGAUAAGGGUGAGGUCCCUGGUUCAAGUCCAGGAUGGCCCAUUCGUGUUUGGGGGUUUAGCUCAGUUGGUAGAGCGCCUGCUUUGCAAGCAGGAUGUCAGCGGUUCGAGUCCGCUAACCUCCAUCCAAUGCUGUUGCUCUUCCCUCGGACCAUGCACGCUCAUGAGGGUGUGUGAGGUAAGGAGUUCUGCUGUUGUGUUGAUCUAGAUUGUUGUUCGCUGAAGAUUUCAGCUUCUUUUCAUUCUUAUCUUGUUUAAGGAUAAGUUGAAAAGACGCUGGAUUCAAGAGUGCCCUGGCAACAGGGCCAUUUGAAUGUCAGCAGAACCUUGACAACUGCAUAGUUGAAGUCUGGAAAUAAAGCAUCUCAUGGAUGCUUGAUUCAGAUCCCAAGUCAAAUCCAGCAAUGGACUUGAUGAAGGAUGGGAAUCAAGAAAAUUCUAUUGAGUUUUUAGAGCCGAGAGCUUCCAGUUUUCUUCUGAGCCCGCCGAGGGUUUGGGAGUUUGAUCCUGGCAUUCAAACCGCAAGCGAGAGUCUGAGCAAUCAGGGUUGAAAGGUUGUAGGUGAAUCUAGAGAGAAUAGGCCUCAACAGCCUGAAAGGACUGGGAGUUGAAAUU